UACGUAGGGGGCAAGCGUUGUCCGGAAUCAUUGGGCGUAAAGCGCACGUAGGCGGCCCGAUAAGUCCGCUGUGAAAGUCGGGGGCUCAACCCUCGGAUGCCGGUGGAUACUGUCGGGCUUGAGUACGGAAGAGGCGAGUGGAAUUCCUGGUGUAGCGGUGAAAUGCGCAGAUAUCAGGAGGAACACCAAUUGCGAAGGCAGCUCGCUGGGACGUUACUGACGCUGAGACGCGAAAGCGUGGGGAGCAAACAGG
rnacentral:rRNA from 1 species